rnacentral:rRNA from 1 species
UACGAAGGGGGCUAGCGUUGUUCGGAAUCACUGGGCGUAAAGGGCGCGUAGGCGGCCGAUCAAGUCGGGGGUGAAAGCCUGUGGCUCAGCCACAGAAUUGCCUUCGAUACUGUUUGGCUUGAGACCGGAAGAGGUUAGUGGAACUGCGAGUGUAGAGGUGAAAUUCGUAGAUAUUCGCAAGAACACCAGUGGCGAAGGCGGCUGACUGGUCCGGUUCUGACGCUGAGGCGCGAAAGCGUGGGGAGCGAACAGG